rnacentral:rRNA from 1 species
UCCAGACUCCUACGGGAGGCAGCAGUGGGGGAUAUUGCACAAUGGGGGGAACCCUGAUGCAGCGACGCCGCGUGGGUGAAGGAGCGUUUCGGCGCGUAAAGCCCUAUCGGCAGGGAAGAAGGAGGACGGUACCUGACUAAGAAGCCCCGGCUAACUACGUGCCAGCAGCCGCGGUAAUACGUAGGGGGCAAGCGUUAUCCGGAUUUACUGGGUGUAAAGGGGGCGCAGACGGCAGCGCAAGCCAGGAGUGAAAGCCCGGGGCCCAACCCCGGGACUGCUCUUGGAACUGCGCGGCUGGAGUGCAGGAGGGGCAGGCGGAAUUCCUGGUGUAGCGGUGAAAUGCGUAGAUAUCAGGAGGAACACCGGUGGCGAAGGCGGCCUGCUGGACUGCGACUGACGUUGAGGCCCGAAAGCGUGGGGAGCAAACAGGAUUAGAUACCCUGGUAUUA